rnacentral:rRNA from 1 species
AAUUCGAUAAUCCGCGCAGAAACUUACCAAAAUUAGAAUUCUAAUUAAUAUACUUUUUUAAAGUAUUAAAUUAAAAAUAACAGGUGUUGCAUGGUCGUUUUCAGUUCGUGAUUUGAGUUUUUAACCAAGACUUUAGAACGGGCAAAACCUACCGAAUUAUAAUUAAUUAAAUUCGACUACUUAUAGACUAAAACUGAUCCUUAUGACCUAUAUAUUUUGGGCCGCAUUUGUGCUACAUUAAUAGAUACAAAA